UCGUACUGCCGGAGCACCACCAGCUUCCCGUGAACACAUGUGUGCCGCGCUUACAUGUUUAUCGUGUAUUGUGUGCGUUUAUUGCGUGCUUAUCGUACGCGACAUUCGUCGACUGGGCAUUUUCCGCGUGUUGGGGCGUUCUCCUGCCUUGAUCCAGUGGCGGAUGAUGGUCGUUGUUCGUUGCCACUCAACACAGCCUCACGGGACGCACAGCUUUGUGUCCGCGCUCAAAAGUGCUUUCUUGCUUCGUUCAUCGAUUACUCACGUUGAUCGAGUGAUCGAGUGUACUUCCGAAGACAAUCCGCGUCCGAGUGUUUUGACAUGCGGCGACCGCGGUUCCACAGGAGCGGAAGCUUGAGCCUUUUGACGAGCGACUGUGCCAAACUUGGGAACCGUCGUGUUGGCACAGCGAGGAUAAUCAACAGAUACCCGAUAGGCAGCGAUGAGAGCUGUUCAUGGCACCGACACAGAGGACAGAUUGCAGUACAAGAUAGGAGCAUACUUCCUGCAAGCCCGGGC